rnacentral:lncRNA from 1 species
AGCUCAGUUUAGGGUUUAAAACCCUAAUGCUGGCUGAAUGGAAAAAAGUUUAGUUUAGGGUUUAAAACCCUAAUGCUGACUAAAGGAAAAAUUCAGUUUAGGGUUUAAAACCCUAAUGCUGAUUGCAUGGAAAAGCUCAGUUUAGGGUUUAAAACCCUAAUGCUGGCUGAAUGGAAAAAGUUCAGUUUAGGGUUUAAAACCCUAAUGCUGACUAAUGGAAAAAAGUUUAGUUUAGGGUUUAAAACCCUAAUGCUGACUAAAGGAAAAAUUCAGUUUAGGGUUUAAAACCCUAAUGCUGGCUGAAUGGGAAAAAGUUCAGUUUAGGGUUUAAAACCCUAAUGCUGACUAAAGGAAAAAUUCAGUUUAGGGUUCAAAACCCUAA